AUUGAACGCUGGCGGCAGGCCUUACACAUGCAAGUCGAGCGGAGCGGCGGACGGGUGCGUAAUGCCUAGGCAUCUGCCUGGUAGCGGGGGAUAACGUACGGCAACGGGCGAUAAUACCGCAUACUAUCAGAUGAGCCUAGGUCGGGUUCACUAGUUGGUGGGGUAAAGGACUAUCACGGCGACGAUCCGUAAUUGGUCUGAGCGGAUGGGCAGUCAAACUGGAACGGUGAUACGGUCCAGGCGCCUACGGGAGGCAGCAGUGGGGAAUAUUGGACAAGGGGCGGAAGCGUGAUCCAGACGUGCCGCGUGUGUGAAGAAGGUCUUCGGAGUGUAAAGCAAUGUAAGUUGGGAGGCGUUACCAACAGAAGAAGCACCGGCUAACUUCGUGCCAGCAGCCGCGGUAAUAC
rnacentral:rRNA from 1 species